GUGAAUGUGGGGUCGGUGUGCGCGGUAGUUCGGAGUGGUGACGUGUGGUUGGGGAGUCUUGGGCGGAAAGGGGGCGUGGUCGGUGCGGUAAGUCUGCAGUGAAAUGGUUGCGCUCAACUCAGAGUCUGCUGUAGAAACUGCCGUGCGUGAGUGUGGGAGAGGUGAGUGGAAUUCCCGGUGUAGCGGUGAAAGGCGUAGAUAUCGGGAGGAACACCUGUGGCGAAAGCGGCUCACUGGACCACAACUGACGCUGAGGCGCGAAAGCUAGGGGAGCAAACAGGAUUAGAUACCCGUGUAGUC
rnacentral:rRNA from 1 species